rnacentral:tRNA from 1 species
GCCGAAGUGGUGGAAUUGGUAGACACGCUAGGUUCAGGGUCUAGUGGGCUUUGCCCGUGGGAGUUCGAGUCUCCCCUUCGGCACCA